UCUCUGUCUUAAGGUUAUGUGGUUA
rnacentral:piRNA from 1 species